UGCAGCGCUCAGCAACUUCCAAUCUUGUUGUAUAGAGAUGAAAAAACAUAAGGGACGUCCCUUGGAAUCGGGGACCGUUGGCAACCCUACCACAGAAGCCAGGGCAAAUGCCACGAGAUGACAUUAAUCUUCCUUUAAUUGUUUUUGAAGGUUGCGAUGUCAAGCCCUGGAAUUAAUGCCAGAUUUAAGAUUGCCCAUGAAAGGCCGCUAUAGUUACACCUUGGCUGCUCCAGGAACGUGUGUGUCUCUGCAGCUGCUUUCAACAGACUAUCCCCAAUAUUGGCAAUGCUCAUGAUUUUAUCGUGACUCUAGCCAUUUUGAGGGUUUUUUUAAAAUCUGUCUGAGGAAAACAUGAUGACGAAAGGCGCCAACUCAUGGAUUUUUCCCUCAUUCAAAAUGGCCACCCUCUUCUCUUGCUGUCAAUGGGGCUGAAGCCAGCAAGGUGGUUGCCAUUUCCCAACUGUCUAGCUGCGUACGGAAGAGAGGCUGCCCUCAGUAAUGGCUGCCACCUCUCACUGUUUUCACAGAAGUUGAAGCCAUGCCCAUAGGAAAAAUGGCUGCCACGCCAUCAUUCGGGGGCUAGAUGGGACAAGGGGGCUGUGAGAAGCAGCAAAGAUAGCUGGGGAGAGUGAGGGGAGCAGGAGGCAGAUUUAGUUGUUGCAGGGGAAUGGGGGGCUGGGAGCACUGGGGGCCGGAGGAAGGAUGAGGGGGAAACAGAGGACCGUGAUGGGCACGAGAGACAUGGAAGGGAUGGAAUGGUGGCUCCCCCCCCCGCCAUCCUCAGAGCAGUGGUGGGUAAAUGGCACCCCUUUGAGCAGCUGGGGAAGGCAAUGUUGCAGUGAGGCCAACUCUUAUGAACUGAUUAUGAGUUGCAGGAUUUUGGAGCCCGCAGGAGGAGCUGUGGCAAUGUUGCGAGAAGCUCCUCUGAUUCUGUGAUUUUUCAGGGCUGGGUAGAGCUGUGUGCAAGGGGCUCGGGACACAGACCUGUCCUGUGUUCUUGUGCAGCCUUAUAGCAGAGAGAGGGUCCUGGGGCAAUUGCAGGGGCAGAGUCCAGAAAGUGCUGGUGCUGGGACCCUGACCGGGGAAGUGGCACUGUUGGGUCCCAAGUACAAAAGUCCUGUGGCAGCAGGAGGCAGAGAAGUGUCGCUGCUUGGUCAAGGCAGUAAUAGGAAGUGGAUGGCAGUUCCCCUAUCUAGGGAUGAGGAAAGGGUAAGUGAAAUGUUCAUCUGAGCAGCCAGGAAGAGGCCUGUGUUUUUGUGUGUGUUAAAGGUUGACUUUUCCACCUGAAAUUCUGUCUUUCACAGUGGCAAAAGAAUAGAGGGGAGGCCAAAAGACAAACUGAAAACAUAUUUGAUUUUUUAAAACCAAUUUAUUUGGGCCAAUCUCGUGAUUUUUGAUGUUUUGAGGUUGGCAAUACUUUAUCCAUUUGUUUGGCUAUAUCAUAAGAGCAUCCAAGAUGAAUGUCCAGCACCAGUAAAAAGCGACCAGUUGGUUCCCUCAACAAAAUUGGCUCAAUUUUGGGGAACAUUAGGAGUGACAGCACAAUCUUAUUAGUGUUUUAAAACUGCCCAUUUUGUAAGUAUGAAUGUAAUCUCUUUGUCUAUGUUCUGAUAUGGGUAGAUUCAAAAGGCUCAUCACUCUAGACCAAAGCCUCUCUUAGCAUUGUCUUUUUUUAUUUCCCAUCAUUAAAAAUAUCCUCCCACAUGCAAUAAUUUGUAUUUUUCCAACCUUAAUCUAAUUUUGUGUGUAGCCCCCUGAGCAAACAGGGAUGCUCCAAGAGAAGAAGUACAACACCUGUUGUACUAGUGGGUCCACUCCAGAGUCCUGCACAGCUGUUUUCUCCAGAGCAGGAGGGCAGGUGAGGGGGAUAUGGCUCUCCUCAGUCACCCUUGUGACCCUCCUCCCUCAACCAAUGGGAGGAAGGAAGACAGUAGACCCCAGAAGCUUAGAGGGCAGAAAGACUGCAAGCAGUGUCUAGCUCUGUGCAGUGCCCCAGAUGCCUGGGAAAGCGGGAGGAAGGCUAUCAAUAGCUCUGCUUUUCCUCCACCGGGUAGAAACCAACUGGGGAGCAGACAGGAAAGAAGGUCUUUUUGCAGCCUACCAGCACAGCACAUCCAGGACCAGCAACUGGCUGUCUGUAACCUCAGCCUACAGAAAAGCCCGAGGAGGGGACAAUCCGCUCCUCCUUCCACCAGCCUCUCUCUCCUACUACUGACUGCAGCCUGCUUCCCCUGUAGCAGCCCACCCCAGAUCUUGGAUUUUAGAUCAAGAGACGUGACCUGCUUGCUGCUGAACUUUGUUCCAAAUUUUAAAGACUGUCAGCACAGCUCCAGAAGGGACUGGGGGAUUAGUCCCUCUCCAACAAUCCCCAGGGAGGACCUGCUUGCUUACAUCAGUCCCCUGACUGCUCAGGCAAAAAAGGAGCCUGAGUGAGUACCCUGUAUUAUAAUGAGGUAGUUAGGGUUUAAUCUUGCACCAUUAGGGUACAUUGCAUCUGCAAAUUCCCAGUAUAAUCAAGUACGUUUCUAACAGGAUCUCCUUGCAGGCCUGCAAUGUGUCUCCAUGUGCACCACCUGGGUAUGUGGGAGAAACGGACAGAAUUGAGAGGGGAUACGCUUUUGUUUAGGAAAGUUGGGGGGAGUGUGUGGUCACAUGACUUAGUAUGCUUGCUGGCAUAACCUUUAGUAAUUAAAAUGCAUUAAUAUAUCUAAUCAUUUUAGUCAUUUAAUAUUUAUACUAAUCCUAUAUUUCUUUUUAAUCAAAUCCUUCUGUAAAGUUUAUAGUUAUUGUUUUUAAUUUGUUUGCUUGUGUGAGUUCUAGUGUGGUACCACUGCCUGAGCGAGAGUAAACCCCUUCACUGGAAGCACUGCCGAGUAGCUUUAUUCUUUAGCAGACCAGCAGAAGAAGUCUGGCAUCUAUCAGCAGCCUUGCAAACGAGCCCAGGCGACUGAAAUGGUGGAAUUGUCCAAAGACUGUAAACAAACUAAGCAGACAAGCUUAGACUACAGAAUGACAAUGGCCGAAGGAGAGCUUCCCUCCCUGGAAAAUAAGUUAAUGAAGAAAGAAAGAGAGUUGAAGAACACAGAAGAGAAAAAAGGAUCCACGUGGAGCUAUCUGAAGAAAAAGAAAAGAUAAUCAGCUAGAUGUGUGCAGUAUAACAUGGACAAGACCAGUAGAAUUUUACAGUUCUGUAGCACUAGAAGCAAUUCCUGAUCCAAGUGAAUUACAGUCCCAAAGUCCAGACCAUUUUUUUUAACUUCUUAAGUCUUUCAAGGCUUUUGUAAGUGGCUCUCUCCAGAACUGCCUUCUUUUUUGUUUCAUUUCCCUGUUCUUUUGAUCUUGGAACCGUUGUCACUUUCCAGUGAUGAAUAUCUAGACUUUUGCUUACAGGGAGGCUCUGAGGAACCAUCUGUUGACAGAGUUUGAAGCUGAGAGAUUAAGGAUUGCGUCAGCAGAAUUAAACUAAAUAAGGGCAGAAGUCACUUUGAACAUGAGCUUGAUUCUUGUGCACAUGUGGUCCUGGACUCUGUAACCAAAUGGCAUUCCCACAGCAGAUGUACUGAAGAGGUGCAGAUGCUUGACAUUGUCAGUAGACAGUGGUGUCUUUGCUUCCUACUUCACGUGUUUUGGCUGGGGUACUGUCAAAAUAAAUGUUGUUACAUUAGCCUAA